GUACUUGCUUCCGCAGCACAUAUACUAAAAUUGUAAUGAUACAGAGAAGAUUAGCCUGGCCCCUGCACAAGGCUGACAUGCAAAUUCAUAAAGUAUUCCAUAUUUAA
ensembl:snRNA U6 U6 spliceosomal RNA